GACCUUGCAGCUCAGUUGGCAGAGCAUUGGGCUAGUAUCUCAAAGGUCGCGGGCUCGAUUCCCACCAUGGUCA